UUUUCCCUUUGUCACUCCUCAAUAUCCCCACUAUCCACACGUUUGUUAGGCGUCCGUGACCGUUGCCACGCACACCUUCUUCUCGAACGUUCGGCAGAAGGAUUGUUGGGAUAUUAAUGGCUCAUUAGGCACUUAGGCGAUAUACAUUGUCGCCAAGUGUCGCCACAUCUUUAUCUCCGUCAUCAAUCCACCGGAUUUGAAGUGUGUCGGUCACAAGAAAAGCGUCGUUAGAAGUCGUACCAACUUAGCUUGUAGGAACUAGUAAUCAUACCAACCCACUAUUUUCUCAACACUCCCCUUUGAUCAUAGUUUCUACAAGCCCCGUAGCUUUGGUAAAACGUUGAAGCUUAACCCUAUUUAAACCUCUGGUGUAUAGAAUAUGUGUGUAGAAUAUCUGCACUAUUCUCAGAACUCGGCAUGUAGACAUAAUCUAGUAUUCCUUUUGACAUGGAAUUCCUAACAUAAAAAUAAUAUACUUGAACGUGUUUAGAUUUUUCAGCGACUAUUUCGUCCUUGGACCAUGAAAUGGCUCCAAUAUUAUCACAGAAGAUUUUGCAUGGGGGAGGACAAUAUGAUAGUUGACCCAAUUCCCUUAACAGCAAGGAUAUCAACACAGUUUUUCUUGCUGCCUCUUGCAUUGCUACAAACUCUUCCUCACACGUCAACUGAGAUAUUAUUGGUUGUUUCUUCGACAACCAAGAUAUCGCACCACCAGCAAGUAU